GACGAACGCUGGCGGCGUGCUUAACACAUGCAAGUCGAGCGAGUGGAUUCCCUUCGGGGAUGAAGCUAGCGGCGGACGGGUGAGUAACACGUGGGCAACCUGCCUUAUAGAGGGGGAUAGCCUUCCGAAAGGAAGAUUAAUACCGCAUAACAUCAGAUUAUCGCAUGGUAGACUGAUCAAAGGAGCAAUCCGCUAUAAGAUGGGCCCGCGUCGCAUUAGCUAGUUGGUGAGGUAACGGCUCACCAAGGCGACGAUGCGUAGCCGACCUGAGAGGGUGAUCGGCCACAUUGGGACUGAGACACGGCCCAGACUCCUGCGGGAGGCAGCAGUGGGGAAUAUUGCACAAUGGGGGAAACCCUGAUGCAGCAACGCCGCGUGAGUGAUGAAGGCCUUCGGGUUGUAAAGCUCUUUGAUCAGGGACGAUAAUGACGGUACCUGAAGAACAAGCCACGGCUAACUACGUGCCAGCCGCCGCAGUAAGAC
rnacentral:rRNA from 1 species